AUUGAACGCUGGCGGCAGGCCUAACACAUGCAAGUCGAAUGGUAACAGGAAACAGCUUGCUGUUUCGCUGACGAGUGGCGGACGGGUGAGUAAUGUCUGGGAAACUGCCUGAUGGAGGGGGAUAACUACUGGAAACGGUAGCUAAUACCGCAUAACGUCGCAAGACCAAAGAGGGGGACCUUCGGGCCUCUUGCCAUCAGAUGUGCCCAGAUGGGAUUAGCUAGUAGGUGGGGUAACGGCUCACCUAGGCGACGAUCCCUAGCUGGUCUGAGAGGAUGACCAGCCACACUGGAACUGAGACACGGUCCAGACUCCUACGGGAGGCAGCAGUGGGGAAUAUUGCACAAUGGGCGCAAGCCUGAUGCAGCCAUGCCGCGUGUAUGAAGAAGGCCUUCGGGUUGUAAAGUACUUUCAGCGGGGAGGAAGGGAGUAAAGUUAAUACCUUUGCUCAUUGACGUUACCCGCAGAAGAACCACCGGCUAACUCCGUG
rnacentral:rRNA from 1 species